rnacentral:lncRNA from 1 species
AUAUAUAUAUAUAAAUGUGAAUAGGUUCAAAGUAAAUGGAUUGAAAAAGAUAUGCCAUGCAAAUAGUAACCAUAAGAGAGUUGGAGUAGCUAUACUAAUACCAGACAAGACAAAUUUUGAGUCUAAAGUUCUUAUAGACAAAGAACCUCUUUUUGUAAUGCUAAGAGUCAACCUAUCAAGAAAAUAUAACAAUUAUAAACAGAUAUGCACCUAACAACAGAGUCUUAAAAUACAUGAAGCAAAAACAGACAUAAAUGAGAAAGAAAAUAGACAAUUCAACAAUAAUUGUUGGAGACUUUAUGCCAAACUUAAUGGACAGGACAGCUAGGUGGAUGAUGACAAGGAAAUAGGAAACUUAACAGCACUAUAAAUCAAAUAGACCUCCCAGAAUCUAUAGAACACCCAGCAAAAGCAGAAUAUACAUUCUCCUAAGCUGCACAUGAAUAAUUCUCUUGGAUAGACUAUAUGUUAGUUCAUAAAAGAAGGGUAUUAGUUUCCUGUGACUGGUGCAACAAAUUGACACAAUCUUGAUGACUUAAAACAACAGAAAUUAAUUUCCUCAAAAUUUUAGAGGUUAGAAGUCCAAAAUCAGUAGUGUUGACCAAAAUCAAAGUGUGAGCUUGGCUGUAAACCCUCCAAAAGCUCUAGAGGAGAAUCCAUUUUUGCUCCAGCAUCAACUGGUUGCCAGCAUUUUUAGUGGUGGCCACAUCACUUCAAUUUCUGCCUCCAUCUUAACAUCAGCUUCUGUUCUUGAUGGUGUAGUCAAUUUUUUUCUGCCUCUCCUUAUAAGGAUACAUGUUAUUGUACUUAGGGCCCACCCAAAUAAUCCAGAAUAAUUUCCUAACCUCAAAAUCCUUAGUUUAGUCACAUUUGCAAAGAUCUGUGUACCAGAUAAAGGAACAUUUACCAGGGCAGCCUAGGUGGCUCAGCAGUUGAGCGCCUGCCUUCAGUCCAGGGCAUGAUCCUGGAGUGCCAGGAUCGAGUCCCAUGUCCGGCUCACUGCAUGGAGCCUGCUUCUCCCUCUGCCUGUGUCUCUGCCUCUCUCUGUGUCUCUCAUGAAUAAAUAAAUAAAAUCUUAAAAAAAAAAUAAAGUAACAUUUACCAGUUCCAGCAAAUAGGAUAAGUCUCAAUAAAUUUCAAAGGAUUGAAAUCAUACAAAGCUUCUUUCCAGCCACAGAAGAAUUAAAUUAGAAAUCAAAGAAGGAAAUUUGGGAAAUUCACAAAUAAGUAUAAAUUAAAUAAAAUAUUCCUAAAUAUAUGAUGAGUCAAGAAGAAAUCACAAAGAAAAUUAUAAAAUGCUUUGAGAUGAAUGAAAAACACAACAGGGGUGCAUGGAUCGCUCAGUUGGUUGGGCAUCCAACUCUUUGAUUUUGACUCUGGUCAUGAUCUCAGGGUUCUGAGGUCAAGCCCUGUGUUGGGCUCUACACUGGGCAGAGAGCUUGCUUAAGAUUCUCUCUCUCUUUCUCUCUGCCCCUUCCACCUACCUCUCCGUGUCUUAAAAAACAACAACAAACCACACACACACAUACACACACACCCCAAAACCUAUGGGAUGCAGCCUAAGCAGUGGUCGAUGUAAACGCAAAAAUCCAUUUAAAAAGAAUAACACACCAAAACCAACUAGAAUUUAUCUUGGGAAUGCAAGAUUGGUUCAACAUACAAAAAUCAGUAACUGUUGGGAUCCCUGGGUGGCUCAGCGGCUUAGUGCCUGCCUUUGGCCCAGGGUGUGAUCUUGGAGUCCCGGGAUCAAGUCCCAGGUCAGGCUCCCUGCAUGGAGCCUGCUUCUCCCUCUGCCUGCGUCUCUGCCUCUCUCUCUGUGUCUCUCAUGAAUAAAUAAAUAAAUUUUUUAAAAAAAUCAGUAACUGUAAUACACCAAAUAGAAUAAAAGACAAAAACCACAUGACUGAACACAUCAAUAGAUGCAGAGAAAACAUUUCACAACAUUCAAUAUUCUUUCAUGGUUAAUUCAUUCAAAAAAUAGAAGGCAACAUCUUCAACCUGAUAAAGCACAUCUACAAAAAACAAACAGAAACAGCACAUCAUAUUUAUUGGUGAAAGACUGAAAGCUUUUUCCUUUAAGAUCAGGAACACGAGGAUGUCCACUCUUGCCACUUCUGUUCAAUGUUGUACUGGAGAUUUUAACUGGGCUUUCACACAAAACAAAAGAAGUGGGAGAAGGUAAAGGAAGAAGAAAGAAAGGGAGAGAAAAAAGAAGGGGGUAGCAAAUGGGGAUGGGGCUGAGGGGGAUGGGAGUGAGUAAGAGAAGGGAAGGAAGGAAAAGAAUCCAGGCUGGAAAGAAAGCAAAACUAUCUAUUUGUUGAUGACAUGUCUCAUUAACAGAAAACUCUAAACAAUCCACAUGUACAGAGCGGGGAAAAUCUAUUAGAGCUAAAAAACAAAUUUAGCACAGUUGCAGUAUACAAGAUCAAC